UCUACUUCAAACGUGUAUAACUAUUUAUAUACAUGGAAUUUUUCAUAUCAAGACCCACCAAAUUGUAGAUAAUUGAAUUAUCUUUCCAACGAUACCAAUUUUUCCUAAAUCCGAUACCCGAGCUAAAAGGUAUGACUUUGUAAAGUGGAGUAUUUUUCGUCCAAAGUGGUUUGACGUGCCUUUGAAAUUCUCUAGAAUUUUGGGCACAUUUCAGGGGUAUAACACACUGGUUUGAGAUGCCUUUGAAAUGCUCUAGCAUCUCGGGCGUAUUUCAGGCCAUAAUUUUAGGGUCAACAUCCAACAAUCAUAACUUGUUGUAUAUAAUGAACUGGGAGGGCUGCUAUAUGUCAAACGAAAGAACUUUGAGUCUUCUUUCCAAUGCAACAAACUUCAUCUAAAUCCAACAUCGGAGUAAAGAGUUAUGCCCAAUUUACUUCAGCCUAUUAGCCUGUCAACUAAGGGACAGCUGCAACUUUGUUUGUUUUCUUAGGGGCAUUUUAGUCUUUUCUCCCACCCUUAUUCAACCAUAAACAUGGGAUUAAGCUCCCAAUUGACCAAAAUAUGUUCACUUUCUCCAAUUUUAUCAAGAACCAAACCCCUUAGUCUCAAACUAAAAAUCAAGAUCCCUCAAAAUUCAACCGUUGUUUUUCGAAAUUGAUUUAAGAUUCGGAAUCUUCUUUGCGAGAGCUACAAGAAGCACCCAUUAAUUAUACGAAUAGAGUUCUGAAAGCAAGAGUUCAUCCAAAUUCACAAUUUAAGGUAUGUGGGAUUUGAACAAGGACAAAACUUUCGUCCUUGUGCCCAAAACUUGAGUUUAUUACAAGAGUUAGUUGAUUUUACAUGUUUUCCUAUGAAAUUAAAGUUGGGUUUAUACCCUAGGUUGCUAUUCAUGA
rnacentral:lncRNA from 1 species